ACAGGCGUGAGCCACCGCGACGGGCCGCCAUCCCUACCGUUUACAGACAGCGUCCAUCUCACUGGUGGGUCCCUAUGCAGUCCAACUUGCUCCACGUCUGAAUGUCAGUCCUAGAUACAAAGCAGAGAAGUUUAAAGUAGGGAAUGGCUUCUUUUUUCCUUUUACAAAACAUAAUGAUGUAGCCUAAGGAGAUUUGCUAGUUUGAGUCCUGGGAGAUGAGAUGGGGAAGAUGGGCCCAAGCUGCAACAUGAAGGUCCAUGAUGAACAGUUGGCAUCUCCUACAGUGCCUGCCACUUGCCAGAAUCCAUAUCCUGUUCCAAGAUGCCUGUUCCAAACUCCCAUCACUAAAGUUUAGGUAAUGUUCAAUGCAGCCAAGGGAGCUAAGGUAAUGAACAAAACAGAGAAGUUCCUACCCUCCCUGAUGUUCAUUCUAGCAAAUGGAGACAGAUGAUAGAAACUGCACAUCAUUGAGCAAGAGGGACACCAUGGAUAAUGGAAAGAUCUACGGCAAGGCUGGCUGUCUGCCCUGUCUAAGGAGGACGUACUGGACCAUCCUGCUCUGCACAUCCAGAUGUGUCCAUGAAUACAUCCAUAAAACGAUGGCCUGUGGAAUCCUAUAGGAAAAUGAUCCAGAGCCUGGGCGGUCAGAAGGAACAAACACUUGAUUUACAAAAUAAAUCUUCUAUGUUUAUGUUUUAAAGACACACAGAGGAAAAA
rnacentral:lncRNA from 1 species